rnacentral:misc_RNA from 1 species
UCACUACUUGCGUAGGCAGUCUGGCUAGAGUCCCCACCUUAACCUGCUGGUAACUAACCACAGGGGUUGCGCUCGUUGCGCCACUUAAGGCAACACCUCACGACACGAGCUGACGACAGCCAUGCAGCACCUGUCUCCGCGCCCCUUGCGGGGACCGCCCAUCUCUGAGCGUGGCACGGGAUGUCAAGGCCUGGUAAGGUUCUGCGCGUUGCGUCGAAUUAAACCACAUGCUCCACCGCUUGUGCGGGCCCCCGUCAAUUCCUUUGAGUUUCAACCUUGCGGCCGUACUCCCCAGGCGGGAUGCUUAAUGCGUUAGCUGCGCCGCUGAUAAGCAUGCUUACCAACGGCUAGCAUCCAUCGUUUACGGCGUGGACUAC